UAGCUUGCUAAUAAUUCUCUAGUGGCGCACGGGUGAGUAACACGUGAGUAACCUGCCCCCAAGAGUGGGAUAGCCCCGGGAAACUGGGAUUAAUACCGCAUAAAAUCGCAAGAUUAAAGCAGCAAUGCGCUUGGGGAUGGGCUCGCGUCCUAUUAGUUAGUUGGUGAGGUAACGGCUCACCAAGGCGAUGACGGGUAGCCGGUCUGAGAGGAUGUCCGGCCACACUGGAACUGAGACACGGUCCAGACACCUACGGGUGGCAGCAGUCGAGAAUCAUUCACAAUGGGGGAAACCCUGAUGGUGCGACGCCGCGUGGGGGAAUGAAGGUCUUCGGAUUGUAAACCCCUGUCAUGUGGGAGCAAAUUAAAAAGAUAGUACCACAAGAGGAAGAGACGGCUAACUCUGUGCCAGCAGCCGCGGUAAUACAGAGGUCUCAAGCGUUGUUCGGAAUCACUGGGCGUAAAGCGUGCGUAGGCGGUUUCGUAAGUCGUGUGUGAAAGGCGGGGGCUCAACCCCCGGACUGCACAUGAUACUGCGAGACUAGAGUAAUGGAGGGGGAACCGGAAUUCUCGGUGUAGCAGUGAAAUGCGUAGAUAUCGAGAGGAACACUCGUGGCGAAGGCGGGUUCCUGGACAUUAACUGACGCUGAGGCACGAAGGCCAGGGGAGCGAAAGGGAUUAGAUACCCCUGUAGUCCUGGCAGUAAACGGUGCACGCUUGGUGUGCGGGGAAUCGACCCCCUGCGUGC
rnacentral:rRNA from 1 species